CCUUCAUACGCUUCCUCCUCAAUGAUUCCCCUUUCAUUCGUUCUUUUCAAGAUCCGCCUCCGCCAUGCACUUUAGGGUUUAGGUUUUUUCCGAUCUUAUCAUUAACGGUGAGUGAAGAUCCGAUAGAAUAGCUUGGAUUUGUGAAAAAGGAAGAAUAGCUACACAUAAUACUUCAACCACUCUCUCACUUUCUCUAAUUCAUAGAUCUAAAAACCCCUAAAACCCUUUGAUGAUCAAGUAAACCAAAACAUCCGAUUUGAAUAUAAUGGCGCAUCGAUCAUCUACUGUAGCAAUGGCGGCAACAUUGAUGGCUCUAGAUCAAGUUUUGACCAGAGAAUCAAUGGAGAUCAAACUGAAGACGACUUGGGUUAACCAGCUUUUU